rnacentral:tRNA from 1 species
GUGGCUGUGGCAGAACGGCUAUGCAUCGGAUUGUGGUUCCGAACCAUGCGGGUUCAAAUCCCGUCGGUCACA